rnacentral:rRNA from 1 species
GUGGGGAAUAUUCCGCAAUGGACGAAAGUCUGACGGAGCAACGCCGCGUGAGUGAUGAAGGUUUUCGGACUGUAAAGCUCUGUUGUUUAGGACGAAAGUGCCUGUUGCAAAUAGUUACAGGUAUUGACGGUACUGAACGAGGAAGCCACGGCUAACUACGUGCCAGCAGCCGCGGUAAUACGUAGGUGGCAAGCGUUGUCCGGAAUUAUUGGGCGUAAAGAGCAUGUAGGCGGGAAUCUAAGUCUGUUGUGAAAAUGCGGGGCUCAACCCCGUAUUGCGAUGGAAACUGGGUUUCUUGAGUGCAGGAGAGGAAAGGGGAAUUCCCAGUGUAGCGGUGAAAUGCGUAGAUAUUGGGAGGAACACCAGUGGCGAAGGCGCCUUUCUGGACGGUGUCUGACACUGAGGCGCGAAAGCCAGGGGAGCGAACGGGAUUAGAAACCCCUGUAGUCC